rnacentral:misc_RNA from 1 species
UCAAACUUGGUCAUUUAGAGGAAGUAAAAGUCGUAACAAGGUAACCGUAGGUGAACCUGCGGUUGGAUCAUUACUGAGAUGAGGUUGUGGCAAAGUCCUUUUGGGCUUGUCUCGCAUCCUUUUACACCUGUGCACUGUGACUGUAUUUGGCAAGUAAGAAAGGGCAUGUCUGUCCUUUUCGAGUUUCGCUUCGGCAGAUUUUCUGCUGAGGGUUGAAAGCUUGCCGAUUUAUAUACUAUUUUUGAGUUUGUGAGCCUGAACAAUGCAAAAUACAAAAUGCAUGAAACAACUUUUGGCAACGGAUCUCUAGGCUCUCGCAUCGAUGAAGAACGCAGC